rnacentral:lncRNA from 1 species
AGAAAUCAUAAUCAGAAAAUUCAGAACUCUAAACCUAAUUACCCUAAAUCAGAAAUCCAGUAGGCGGAGAGGAGAGGAGAGGAGACGCGGCAGUCAGCGAUCGGCGGUCGGCGAUGUUCGAGGAGAGGAGAUGAGACGAGACUGAUGGUUUCACCGUGAGAAGUGAAGAGGAGAAGCAGCAGUAAAGCAUGUGUGAGCAGUGUUCUAUACCUUACCCAGUUACCCGACGGCAAAGAGGUGACGACAAGCAAAGGCGCGACGACUAGAGAAGAGGUGACGACCGGCGAAGACGCAAAGACGGUGAAGAUGACGGUGACGGUGACGGACUGAGGGGUGGGAGGUAGCGCCGUAGCGGUGAAGGACUGAGAGGGCGAGAGGUGGCAGUUGGUGGCGGUCGGUGGUGGUGAUGGUGCGACUGUGCGUGGUUCAGAGAGGACGAGAGACUGAGGUUUGAGGGUGGUGAUUGGUGAAGAGUUCGGAGAGACAGAGACUAGGUUGAAGAUUGUGAAUUGCAACUUUGCAAGUGUGACG